rnacentral:rRNA from 1 species
UACGUAGGGUGCAAGCGUUGUCCGGAAUUAUUGGGCGUAAAGAGCUCGUAGGCGGUUUGUCGCGUCUGCUGUGAAAACUCGGGGCUUAACUCCGGGCCUGCAGUGGGUACGGGCAGACUAGAGUGCGGUAGGGGAGACUGGAAUUCCUGGUGUAGCGGUGAAAUGCGCAGAUAUCAGGAGGAACACCGGUGGCGAAGGCGGGUCUCUGGGCAACUACUGACGCUGAGGAGCGAAAGCGUGGGGAGCGAACAGG